CUGACAUUAGGCAAACUCAAUGUUGUUUAAUAGCGUCAAAGAAAAUACUGAAUCGUCUCCUCAUAAUCACACCAGAGAGUUUCCAAUUUGUACUGAUAGUAGGGAGCUUCUGGUGAUCUGGGCUAAGGAGUAAGAUAAUGAAAAUAGAAUUUAGAAUGUUUUGCUUAGGAAUAGAUGUCCAAAUGGAUAAGACAAAAAAGGGACCAGAGACAAGAAUAUCAGAGAGGAAAUGGAUGCUUAAUGUGAAUUGAAGGAAUGUCUGAACUAGACUAAAAACCAAAAUUACAAAUGAGAAGUACAGGGAAACCAGGUGUUAAGUGUGUGCUGAGCAGUAGCUAGAAGCUUGGUGUGGCUGUGACUGGGGUACCUGAAAGGGCCUGGGCUCUGCAGAGGUGUGUUGGAAGGUGGUGGGCUAGGAGGUACCCUCUUCCCUGCCCGCCUUCCGUCCUUCCAUGAGGUAAAAGUCUCGCAGUGAAAAACCCGAGGACCCUUACUGCAAGUGUCCUUUGCUCCCAGCUACUGAUACUGGAUUCCACUCGUGAUUCUCCCUUUCUUAGCGCAUUCAUGAUAUAGACAUCAGUCUCUGAGCUGGAAGAGGACAAAGGCAGCGGUCCUGUGAAUUCUAUGCUCUAGCUUGGGUUAAGGGAUUUGGAAUUGCACUUGUUCCAGAGGUAGAAGUGAGAGCAAGAGUCUAACAGCAAACAAACACCCUUCUGACCUCUGAAAUGCUUCAAACUUUUGAUUACAAAGAUUCUGUUGUCACGGACGGGGACACAGCUCGGGGUGUUGGAAACCACACCCACUUCUGCCUGAGGGAAAGACAGGAUAGUAACGAGAGCUCCCUCUUUGCCCACUAGCAGGGCAUUAGCUGGUGCUGAAGACAGUGGCUGCUUGGCGAGCCUGGAUCUCCAAGUGACCCCCUCAGCAACUCCUGAUGAACAGGUAGCAUGAAAAAGAAACCUUUUUGGUUUAUACCAGUGAGAUAUGGGAGUUGUAUAUCAUUGCAGCAUAAUCUAGGCUAUAGAUGAUGCAAUACUGCUACAUUAGGGUCUGAUUUCUAGUCAGGCCCUAUGCCUAGGAUAGCUUACUGCUGGCACACUCUUCAGCCA
rnacentral:lncRNA from 1 species